rnacentral:misc_RNA from 1 species
UGCUCCGCCGUGAGGUGCUCCACUCCUUCCUCCGCCGUCGAGGCUGAGCUCGUCCAGGGCCUCAUCACCUCCGCCGUGAGGUGCUCCACUCCUUCGUCGUCAAGCUCUCGCCCCAGGGGUGCGCUAGUGCCAGAUGCGGCGAGCCAGCAGAUCAAGGAAACCGCCCGUGGCCGCCCCAGGCGUUACAUCUUGCACUGGCUGCUGCUGGUGACAAGCAAGAACAACCAAAGUAAAGAAGUCUACAUAAUUGCCAAGAAUCAUCUUCAUCCAUGGGGAUCCGGUAAAGCAGCAGCCCCUUGGCUGGGUAACCUACUGUGAAGCAUCAGGUCAGCAGUGAAGGAGAUCUGAGUUCGAAGCAAAUUUGCCGCGAAUUCUCUCCGGAAAUCAUUCGAGUGGCUGGAUUUUGAAGCGCAGCCAUGGGAUCGGAGGAUUUUGU